CUGGAGACAAGCUACCCCUUUUCCACGAGGAGAUCGCUCCUCGUCCUACUCCCAUUCAUGCUAAUUGAUGAAUUAUUUCUUUCCUCUUAUGCUCCCUGCAUCUGAGGGUUUGAAUCUCGAGAACCUUCUAGUUUGUAGUAGGUUUGAAUCUCGAGAACCUUCUAGUCUGAAGGAGAAUCCAAUCAAUGAUCUAGGCACUGAGCCACAUCUCACAAUAUGUUUUUGGUUCUCAUGGUGAACCACACUCCUCUUUGAUAGGGCGAAGUACAUUCUGGAAAUCAUU
rnacentral:lncRNA from 1 species